CUUAGCCAUGCGAGUCUUUGUAGUAAUACAAGGCAUACGGCUCAGUAACACGUAGUCAACCUACCCUAUGGACGAGAAUAAUCUCGGGAAACUGAGCAUAAUUCUCGAUAGAUCAUAAUGCCUGGAAUGGUUUAUGGUUAAAAUGAUUCGUCGCCAUAGGAUGGGACUGCGGCCUAUCAGCUUGUUGGUGAGGUAAUGGCCCACCAAGGCGAUUACAGGUACGGGCUCUGAGAGGAGAAGCCCGGAGAUGGGUACUGAGACAAGGACCCAGGCCCUAUGGGGCGCAGCAGGCGAGAAAACUUUGCAAUGUGCGAAAGCACGACAAGGUUAAUCCGAGUGAUUUCUGCUAAAGGAAUCUUUUGCCAGUCGUAAAACCACUGGUGAAUAAGGGGUGGGCAAGUUCUGGUGUCAGCCGCCGCGGUAAAACCAGCACCUCAAGUGGUCAGGAUGAUUAUUGGGCCUAAAGCAUCCGUAGCCGGCUUUGUUAGUUUUCGGUUAAAUCCAUGUGCUCAACGCAUGGGCUGCCGAAAAUACUGCAUAGCUAGGGAGUGGGAGAGGUAGACGGUACUCAGUAGGUAGGGGUAAAAUCCUUUGAUCUAUUGAUGACCACCUGUGGCGAAGGCGGUCUACCAGAACACGUUCGACGGUGAGGGAUGAAAGCUGGGGGAGCAAACCGGAUUAGAUACCCGGGUAGUCCCAGCUGUAAACGAUGCAGACUAGA
rnacentral:rRNA from 1 species